GACGAACGCUGGCGGCGUGCCUAACACAUGCAAGUCGAACGGAGUCCCGCCUUUAAGACCUUCGGGUCAAGGAGGGGACGAGUGAGUGGCGGACGGGUGAGUAACACGUGGCCUACCUGGCUCAUCGAGGGGGAUAACAGAGAGAAAUUUCUGCUAAUACCGCACAAGCACACACUGCCGCAUGGCAGAGGGUGAAAAGAGAAUCGCGAUGUGAUGGACCCGCGUCUGAUUAGCCAGGUGGCAGGGUAAGAGCCUACCAACGCGACGAUCAGUAGCUGAUAUGGGAGGAGGAACGGCCAGAUCUGGGAUAAGGCACGGCCCAAUAUCCGACGGAAGGGAGCAGUAUGUGGUAUUGCAGAAUGAGGGGAACUCUGAUACAGCGGCGCCGCGUGAGUGAAGAAGUAGUUCGGUAUGUAAAGCUCUAUCAGCAGGGAAGAUAAUGACAGUACCUGAAAAAGAAGCCCCGGCUAACUACGUG
rnacentral:rRNA from 1 species